rnacentral:lncRNA from 1 species
AUCAUCGGACCAAAACGGAAACUUGAUGAUGAAGAUUGUGAUUGAGAAUCGGGGGUCUCGCUGAGUAAGCAGCUUCGCAAUCUCCACGGUGGCCGCAAGGUGGCCGAUCCCAGGAGAUGGGAUGAAGACAAGCUCUGUUUGCUUCAUCACCAACCAGCGAUUACUGCAAAGAGAGAAAAAUAUUGGAUGUGUUGAGGGCUUUGUGGUGGGAUGAGGCUGAACGUGUUAUAAACGACCUUUCAAUAGUCUUGGCGGGCGAGGAACUGACGUCAUAGCUUUGCUGGUUCAGUCUAUUUUCUUCUACCUGUCGUUUUUGUAUGAUUUGUGGUUGGCCUUUAUUGAAGCUCGAGGCAACAAUUGAUGGUUUCAAGAUUUCUGUCAUUUUAGUAUAAAACAAACAAUUAAAUAUAUGAUUCAUUUCCCCUCGAGGAAGGGUCCAAAUAGGUAGGCUACACUUUUCACAUUAAUGUUGGAAUAUGUGCCCAUAAACAAAUGAGAUGUUUUGUAUUUUGCUUAUUAUUAAUAUUUUUUUAAGGAAUUAUUUCAAUAUUAUUGUUGCAGGCAUGUUAUAGAUGCUUUAUAAAUAUCGAAAACCCUAGAUUAUUUAAUUGUAACUUUAAAUAUUGUAUAUAAGUGUUAUAUACAAGAGGAUAAUAUUUAAAGUAAAAUAAUCUAAUAUGUUCGUAAUUAAAAAUUAAAGUUGGGAUCUUUAAUUUAAAAUUACUAGCACAGUUCAUUACAUUCUGAAUGAAAUGAUCUUAUCCGGAUUAUUAAUAAUGAGAUUAUUAGAAUGAAAGCGUUUUAUAUAAUUUGAUUAUAUAGGACUGGAACACGGAAUCUCUAAUAAAUUCCGUUAUAAUAUAGAGCAUUCAAUAUUAAUCAAUGAUGGUCAUAUAUGCAUUGAUCUUAAUUCUGAGUGAUUAAUAGACUCCUAUUUAUUGUAUUGUAUUUUUUGACAUAUUGGGUAAUGACACAAAUACAUAGUGUCAAAUUCUUGGUGUAUUGGAAGUAUAAUAAAAUAAAUAGCCGGGAAUAUUAAUAUACAAGAUGAAAUCCAUUCCUUCGUUAAGAAGUCAGAUGGACGGUUCCCAUAAGUAUUGGUUCGGGCCUUGAAUGAUAAGAGCGCUCUAUUUAUGAUUAGACCAUAAAUAUAUUAUUCAUUAGAGAACCAAUGGCACUUAAGGAAAAAGAUAUAAUUAAAGAGGUUAACGGAAAAACCUAGCUUUAAUUAUGAACCGUUUAUGGAGGAUUGACUCAUAUGUAGUGACUAUAUCAAUGGGCAAUUCAAAUCCUUUGAAUAUAUUUAAUUUUAUAAUUUAAAGAGUGCAUUUCCAAAUUUUUAGUGGAGUAAUUUUGGAAUUAAUAAUUUUGAUUUUUUAAUUAAGUUGUUAAUUAAUUGUCAAAAUUAUUGGAGCUUAAAAUUAUAAUGUCUAUAGUUCCUCUCAACGGCUCCAUUAAAAUUAUAUGAACAUUUUUUUAUGUUGGGUUGAUUUUAUUAGUUUGGAAUUUUGAAUUCUAAAUUAAUUUCACACAAUCUUGAUUUGAUUAAUUUAUUUUAUAAUUUGAUUAUUUAAAAUAUUUUUUGAUACAAUGUGGUGAAGAACACACUUACUUGUAUUCCCUAAGAAACACUUUUUAAGUGGGGAUCAUGGGGAGAGAUAUUCUCUCCCAUGUUUUUCAAAAUUCAAAAUAAGUCAGUUAUUUUUUUUCUUCGUAGUAUUAAAAAGUUUUUUUUUCUCAAUGUUUUUCGCAUGAUGGGAUGAGAAUACAAGUUUUCAAUAUAUUAAGUUGUGUGAUAAAAAAAAACCCAAAAAAAAAAAAUGAUAAACGCCCACUCGUUUUGAGUUCAUCAUUUUUUGGAGAACGUUAGAGAAAGAUUCAUGGUGCUUUAGAGGAUUUGGAAUUCUAAGAUCCUUUUGGUGGAGUUCAAAUUUAUCAGCCUAAUCGCAAGGUACAAUUCUAAAUUACCUAUAUUUGUUAUUUCAUUAAAUUAAUACAAGUAUUGAUCAUUGGGAAAAUUUUUUUGAGAAACUACCUAGCCAUUUAAGUUACAACUAAAUUACUCAUAUCAUAACACCAUUUUAUCGUUUUUAAUUUCAAACUCAAAAUGUGUUUAUGCCUAAGCUUCAAAUUUUGUGUUUUCAACUUGACUAUGUUAGUAUAAGACUCAUUGUAGAAAAGUAGCCUCAAAUUAUUAAUCUUAGGAACAAAAUUGUCAACCCAUUGUAAUACACUAAUAAAGUUAAUACCAUAUAAAAAGAUAAUUCAUACUAGAAAAAAGUAAGAAUUUUAGAAAAUUCUAUAUUACUAAAUCAAUGCCUAGUAAAAUUCAAAUCUAGAUCAUUUAAAGUGUUUAAUAAAAUUGUUGGAUAAAGGUACAGAUAUAUGAAAUCAUAUUAUAAAUAAAUGGGACCAAGACAUAAGAUAAUAAAACCAAAGUAGAAAGCAAUAAGAUUAAAGUAUAAUGCAAUAGGACCACAUAAGAGAUACCAAGUAUCAUAUCAAAGUCUAGGUUGAAGGUUUAUGCAAAAGGUGAGUGGUUCUACAUUCUUUAAUUUUAACAUACAACAAGCACUAAAAAUAUUAUUUAUAUUCCCUCGAGAAAGAGAUAGAAUAGGUUACACUUUUCCCAUGUUUAGGCCAAACUUUGUAAAACUAAUCUCUAUUGGUUUAAAGUUGUAAUUAAAAUUUUAAAUGAAUAAAAAUGUCCUAAUUUUUGAAAAAUGUGUAUUAAUGUGAAUGAAUGUAAAAAGUUCCAUGAAUAAUACUUCUAUUAAAAAAGAUUGUAUUUUUUUUAUUUUAAAAAGUGAAGGGCACUUUUCCAAAUUAGAGAUUAUUUUGAAAAUAAAUUGAUUAAAUUCUUGCUAUUUUUUUUUUCAAAAAUAAAAAAUGUAGUCAACUACUAGUUUAAUUUUGUAGAAAAUUAACCUUGAGCAAACUCUUUGGGUCACAUUAUUUUGUCAUUUAUUUGCUAACAUAAUUAUAAAGGAAGCUAGGUUCGGAGAGAUUGAGCAAGCAUUAUGUAAGUUGCAAGGCCGGAGUGUAAGGGCAUAUUAAAUCAUUUUUCUUGAAUGUUCUUAUUUAUGUGAAAGAAUUGUAUACCCUUAUGCAAUAGACAAUAAUUUUUUUAUGCAUUUCAUGAUUACAAAGUAUAUAUGUCACAAUUGAUGAUAUUUUCCCUUAUAUUUAUAUUGUAUAAAAAUAAGAUUACUAAUUAUAAGAUAUGAUUUUUGAUUUCCUUAUAAUCUUAAAAUAUGUUCACAACCUAUAAACUUCUCAUAGACAAUAUAUUUAUUAAAAGUUGUCAUGACUUGUACUAAUGUAUCUAAUAGAGUAAUGAAUCUCAAUCACUAAAGUGGAGACUUUUAAUAAACUUCACAGGUGAUUGUAUGAUAAUAAUCACAGAACUAGACAAUUGCUGAACAACUCUCGGAUCUCUUCUAGUCAUGUUAGGAUUGAUUUUUUUUUUUUAAUAUUACAUAAAAUUCUUUGAAUUAAGGGUCAAUGUUAUUGAGUUUUAUAUUUGAAUUUAUAUAACUUUCAUAUUUUCAAUUAUUAAUGUUUAAUAGCAAACUAAAUAUAGACAUUUUGGGCUUUCAUUUUGAAGUUUUAGACAUAUUAUAUAUAUAUAUAUAUAUGUGUGUGUGUGUAUUAGUGGGAGGGCAUAUUCAAGAUUGUGUCACUUAUAAAUUGGAUUGAAAUACUAACCAGUCAAUUUAGAAAGAAUUUUUACAAGGUUUAUAUAUUUAUAUAAUAUGUUGUGUAUUAGGAAUUUCUAAAUUGUUUCUCGAAGGUCUAAUUAUAAGAGGUGACAUGCUUGCAAGGUUUGGUAAUGAUAAUCAUCUUGGUCCAACCCAAUAAAGUUAUAAGGAAUAUUUGUUAAUAGAAUGAUUAACAUGUAAUUAGGGAACUCACUAAUAUAUCUAUUAUUCAUUGGUGAAAUUAUAAUUUGUUUAAAUAUAAUUGCAAUUAACAAAGUUAUUUGGACUGUAUACUAGGGAUAAAAAGAUCCCACAAAGGUCUCAUAUGACAUGUCCUCACCUGGAUUAUUGAGAAGAGACAAUUAGCUUUAAAAUAUGAAGAUUUCAUAACAAACAGGGUUUAAAAAUUUCGAAAAAAAACCAGUUAUCAAUGUUGGCCCAAACGAAAUUGGCCACCGAUAAUUGGUCGGACAAAAAGUCACCCAAUAAUGGGCGAUUUUGGCAUAUUUCAAUGAAUUCCCAAAUUUUGACCAAAAAUAUCACAACUGGAGAGCACAUGUAAGUGGGGAACAACACAGCAAAAAAUCACCAAAAAAUCGGUGUUUUUAAAAAAAAAUUGCCAAAUUUUUCAAAGGCCUAUUUAUUUAUUUAUUUAUUUUAAAAAAAACAAUGUAUUGAUGUUUUUUCAAUUAUUUUUUCCAAUUUAUCUUUAAUUUUAAAUUUAUAUCAGCCUUUUAUUUUAUAUUAUCCUUUUAUUUUUAAUUAUAUUUCGUAUUUGUCUCAUUAAUCCUAUUUUAAAAAAUUAUUAUCACUUCACUUUAAUUUUUUUGUUUUUAUCCUUCUAAUUUUAUUUAAUUUUAAAUGUUUUUAUUUCAAAAUAUUAAAAAUAUAAAUUUAUUCAAAAAUUGCUAAAAUAUAAAAAAACUAAUGAAGUUCUAAAAUUUGAUAAAUUAAAAUAAAUUUAAUAAAAUAAAUUACUAAUAUCAUUUUUAAUUAUUUUAGUUAUUUAAAUAAAUUAAUGUUAAUAGCAAAGAAAUUGUCACCACAAAUUUGUAACAAAAUUUUAGAAAUUAAAUCUCAAAUAAAAUAUUUUAUGUAAAUUGAUUUAAUUUUUUAUUUAAAAUGUAAUAAAACAUGUUUUAAUAAAAGUAGUUUUUAAUUUUUAAAAUAAAUGAAUACAAAUAUUUUUAAAGGAAUUUAAGUUAAUAUUUUCUUACAGAAUUGAUAAACAUUAUCUUUGAUUUUAUAUACGUCAAUUACACUUAUAAAAUAACUUUAAUACGUGUGUUUUUGCUUAUUUUAUUAUUUUUUAAAAGAUUUUCUAAGCAUUUUAAUGAAUUUUUAAUAAUUUUUGCUCCAUCAAUAUUUUUUUCAAAAUAUCCAUCAUUAUUUUACUAAUAUUUUCGAUAUAUUCGUAAAAUCUAAGUAUUCGAUAUAUCUGUAUUUAUUGACAUUUCAAACCUUGACAACAAAUAAAUAAGUGAAUUAAUCAUAGAUAUUUACUUUAUAAGUUAAAAUAUUAUAAGUAACAAUGGAUUAUAAAGUUACAGAAGGUUUUAAAUUUAUAACAAAUUAAUGUAAUGUUACAAAGAAAUUGUAAAGUCUAUAAACUCCAAAAUUGGUCUUAGGAUCUUUUUAUCCAAAAAUUUUAGGCCCAUUUUUAGUGGGUGUUUGGUAAAUUAACUUAAUAACUUAAAAGUGAUUUAAUAACUUAAUUUAAGUCAUUAAGAAAAUUAAGUAUGUUUGGUAAAAUAACUUAAUGAUAUGACUUAAAGUAAAUAACAACUAACUUAUUCUUAAGUUCAAAUAUUUAUUUUACCUUUUUUUUAAUCUCCAUUUACCUAAAUUACCUCCGCGAUCUCCUUUGCUACUCCAUGACCUCCAUUAUUACUUGACUUUUUUUGCCCUAAUUAUAAUUUAUGAGAAUAAAUAUGUAAAUUUGAUAAUUUAAAAUAUUUUUUAAGUUAAUUUUAUCAAAUAACCUUAAUACUUAAAAUAAUAAUUAAAUAAUAUGUUUUAAGUCAACAAUUUAAGUUCUCAACUUAAGUCAUUAAAUAAUAAGUAAUAAGUUUUACCAAAUACCCUCUUAUUCAUAAAAUUUUAAGUAAAUUAAAUUAGAAAUUUUACGCCCUCUUACUCUUGGUUCAUAUACUUUUAUUUGUAUUAUUAUUAUUAUUGUAUUUUAUUUUGUCUUCACAUUAUUUAUUUUUGAGGAAAAAAAAAGGAAUUUGAGAUUUUGAAAAGGAAAUGGAAUUUCUAGCAAAAUAAAAGAGAAAAAGAAAGAGUGGAAGGGGAGCGACCUACUAAUCAUUGGAGGGGUAGUGUUAAUCACCACCAUCUUCCCCUCAAUCAUGGACACAAUCCACCUUUACCAUUGCAACUUCUUUAUAUAUCCAAUUUCGACAACUUUCAACUCUAAAACCAUCUCUAACACCCACUGCCACGCACCAUUCAUCCUUUCCAUCACCUCCACAGUCAUCUGCCAAUGUCCCUGCGCCCCCAAGUCGUGGCACUCAUAGCUAACCAUAGCAUCUCUGUUAACCAUCUUCUCCACUCUGGUACCACUAUUUUAGCAUACUAGCAUUUUUUUGUUACAACAACUAUAUUAGUAUAGAAUAUUCUAGAUAUAGCUUGUUAAAAUAAGUGCUGAGUUGUACAACCUUGUUUGGAAAUGUAAGGUAGAGCACUCUAUUAUAUAUAUUUUUAUACCUUCACACUAUUGUUUUUCAACACAAUGAAAUGAGAAUGUGUUUUUCUCUUUCCAUUUUCUCCUUGUAAUAUGGUAUUAGAGCAUCUUCCUUCUGUUGCUCUUUCAUCUUUUUGUCAAAAUGACUCGUGGUAACAACACAAACCGAUUCCAACCACUCACACCUCAUUCUUCCACUAGAACCAUGGCUCAAAAUGAUUCUUUUUAUUCCAUGGAUAACACUAGCAACCCUUUUUUCUUGCAUAGUGGUGAACAAGGAUGAAAAUAUCGGUAAUUAUGAAUAUAUUGGUACUUCUAUUUUAUGGAUAUAUUGGAUAAAUCGGAGAUAUAUCGACAGAUAUUUUGGAAAAAAAAUAUCGAUAAACCUAAAAUUGAUCAAAAUUUAUAAAAAAAAAAUAUAAGAAAAACUUCAUCACUACAAGGAAAAAGGUAUAUGGUGACAUUUAUAACGAGUCACCAUAAACAUAAGGUGUCACUACAACAUAGCGUCACCUUCUCCACUGACACCAUAGAGGGUACCAAUUGGUGACGUAUUUGGAAGUGACACCAAAGUAGAUAAAUGGUGACCCAUUCAGAAGUGACACCAUAUAUUUCUAGUGAUGAUAGGAUGUCACAUCAAAUACAUCAUCUUUGAGUUAUGAUGUCACAUUAAAUGCAUCACCUUUGAGUUAUGGUAUCCCAUCAUUGUAAAUUAUUGUGGAAUAUAUGAUUGGUUUUAGUUGUUGAUUUUUGUAAUGCUUAUGAAUUAAUAAGAUUAACCUGUUUAUAUUUUGUCCAUAAAUAUAACAAUCAUAUUAUAUUUAACUCAUUUUUCUGUAAUGUUUCUAGAAUAACUCAUAAUACAUUGAUCAUCUAAUAAUAUUUGUAUAUCAAAUGUUCACAAAAGGAUAGUACGUCCAACAUANNNNNNNNNNNNNNNNNNNNNNNNNNNNNNNNNNNNNNNNNNNNNNNNNNNNNNNNNNNNNNNNNNNNNNNNNNNNNNNNNNNNNNNNNNNNNNNNNNNNNNNNNNNNNNNNNNNNNNNNNNNNNNNNNNNNNNNNNNNNNNNNNNNNNNNNNNNNNNNNNNNNNNNNNNNNNNNNNNNNNNNNNNNNNNNNNNNNNNNNNNNNNNNNNNNNNNNNNNNNNNNNNNNNNNNNNNNNNNNNNNNNNNNNNNNNNNNNNNNNNNNNNNNNNNNNNNNNNNNNNNNNNNNNNNNNNNNNNNNNNNNNNNNNNNNNNNNNNNNNNNNNNNNNNNNNNNNNNNNNNNNNNNNNNNNNNNNNNNNNNNNNNNNNNNNNNNNNNNNNNNNNNNNNNNNNNNNNNNNNNNNNNNNNNNNNNNNNNNNNNNNNNNNNNNNNNNNNNNNNNNNNNNNNNNNNNNNNNNNNNNNNNNNNNNNNNNNNNNNNNNNNNNNNNNNNNNNNNNNNNNNNNNNNNNNNNNNNNNNNNNNNNNNNNNNNNNNNNNNNNNNNNNNNNNNNNNNNNNNNNNNNNNNNNNNNNNNNNNNNNNNNNNNNNNNNNNNNNNNNNNNNNNNNNNNNNNNNNNNNNNNNNNNNNNNNNNNNNNNNNNNNNNNNNNNNNNNNNNNNNNNNNNNNNNNNNNNNNNNNNNNNNNNNNNNNNNNNNNNNNNNNNNNNNNNNNNNNNNNNNNNNNNNNNNNGUAGAUAUCGAAGAAGCCCUAUGUAAAUAAGUUCAAUGAGUACAUUUUUAAAAUAGGUAAAUGUAUAUGUUUAAUAUAUAUAAAUAAUAAAAAAAAUGUGUUGAGGAAAACAUAAAUAAACCCUUAUGUAAAAAAAAAAACAUUAAAAUAUAAUUGAGCAUUAAAAUAUUUACUCUCUUUCAUCACUUUCAUUUGAAUAUUAAUAAUCUCUUAUUGAGAUAGAUACUUACAAUUUAAUAAAAUAGAAAUUCCAAUAAUAAAAAAUAUAAAAUUUCUAUUUCUAUUAACAAAAUAUAAAAACUUUCCAAAACUCAACUACUUAAAUAUAAAAAUAAAAUCAAAUAAAAUAUCUAGCUAAUUGGAUUUUAGAAACUAAAUAAACUAUAAAUAAACUAAAUAUAAAAACUAAAUAAAAUAUCUAUGCCCAUGAAUUAAUUGAAGAUGAUAGAAAGACACAGAGAGAACAUGACUAUGGUUAUGAUUUCCAUCUUAUCAUCUCCCGUUAAUACCACACAUGCUCAUUUUAAGGUUGGACACUACUUUUGUUGCUGGACUUGGAAAGGGAACUUCAAAAUUGAAAACAUAAAUAAACCCUUAUGUAAAAAAAAAAAAAAACAUUAAAAUAUAAUUGAGCAUUAAAAUAUUUACUCUCUUUCAUCACUUUCAUUUGAAUAUUAAUAAUCUCUUAUUGAGAUAGAUACUUACAAUUUAACAAAAUAGAAAUUCCUAAUAAUAAAAAAUAUAAAAAUUUCUAUUCCUAUUAACAAAAUAUAAAAACUUUCCAAAACUCAAAUACUUAAAUAUAAAAACAAAAUCAAAUAAAAUAUCUAACUAAUUGGAUUUUAGAAACUAAAUAAACUAUAAAUAAACUAAAUAUAAAAACUAAAUAAAAUAUCUAUGCCCAUGAAUUAAUUGAAAAGGAUAGAAAGACACAGAGAGAACAUGGCUAUGGUUAUGAUUUCCAUCUUAUCAUCUCCCGUCAAUACCACACAUGCCUUCCCGGAUUGGUCCUUUUGGGGUUGGAUACUCUCAACGAAAUUCUAUAUCUCAUUCCCACUUAGAUACAAACAGAAAAAUCAUUCUUUUUUUUUUCCUCUCUCGUUUUUUAGAAAGGAUGAAGAUUAUGUGAUAGUAUAUCUUAAAAAAAUUCUAUACCUGUCAUUCUCACACAAAUAUAUAUUAAAAAUCAUUCAUUUUUUCCUGUUUUUCACUUUUUUUUUAAGGACUUGAUCAUGUGUUUGGUUUAGAUUAAAAAAAUCAAUUAAUCUAUAGUUUUUUCUUCCAUGCUAGAAUAUUAAACCUAAAUUUUUCUUCCCUACAACUCAAGAAAACACAAUUCACAAAAACCAUAAUACAAAGAUGUUGAAACAAUUAAUAUAAUGGCAUUAAUAAAAGAAAAAAAAAAUGAUAGAUCCAAGAGAUUUUGGGUUACCUGGGAGUCCACAAAGUGAAGAAUGUCGGUUUUGAGCGUGUUGACUAUGGAUGGGUGAGAGAAAAGGUUGAAGAAGAUCAUGAUUUUAUAUAUAGGAUUUAUAUAUUGAGAUUUUUUGGAUUGUGGGUGAGAUAUGGAAACAAUGGGAUUUUUAUAUAGUAUAAUACUUAAAAAAUUUAUUUUAUAUGAUGUCACUUCCCAAAAAAUGACACUAUAAAUAUAAAAUUAAUAUCAUCUAACUACCUCAAUUGAAGAUUUUUUAUAUGAUGUGUCACCUUUAUUAAUUAUAAACCCUAUGGUGUCAUUAUUUUAAAAGUGACACCGUAAAUAGUGACACCAUAAACUAUUUUUGUAGUAGUGCAUAAAAAUAUAAUUAGAAGUAUAAUGAUAUUUUUAAGUUGUUUUAUUAAAUAAUUUGAUAUAUGUAUAAUAUGAUUUAUCAUAUUGGAUAAUAAUAUCGUAUGCCUCAAUAAAAAUAUGAAUCUUAUAAGUGUACAUUUAUUAUUAAAUUACAUUAUAUAUUAUUUCAUAAUAAUAUUAUGAUAUUUGAUUAUAAUAUGUCUAAUUUUAAAAUAUAUAUUAAUAUUAAAAUUAUGAUCCAUUUAAUUCAAUUAUAUUAAAUAAUAUAAAAUAAAUUAUAAUAUAUGUACAAUUUUUUAAUAUUUAAUUAAUUAUUAAUGAUAUUAAAAACACUAUGAAAAAAAUUAUCAUGAUAAUUUUUAUAUUUUUGGUAAUUAAUUAAAAUAAAUUUUUGCAUUUAAUUAUAAUUAAUUGCUUUUUAAAUAUUCUUUUAAUAUUUUCUUUAUAUAAUGAGUUUAAAUAUAUAUAUAUAUAUAUAUAUGUUUAGUGCAUAUUAUUUAACAACGGGCAAGUUUGCCCUAAUGAUAAGUGAGUUGAACCCUAUUUGGUUUAAGGUUCGAAUCCCUCAACAGCAAAAGGGAGGGCUUUUUGGCACUUGGGCACUGUCCUUUUGUUGGGGUUUGGUCAAGAUGUAACAAUAUGGUCACUUCUUGGAUUCUCAAUACCCUUUCUAAAGAGAUUGUUGAUAGUCUACUUUACCUUGACAAUGCUCAAGCCGUUUGGGCAGGUCUACAUGAUCGAUUUCAUCAGAGCAAUGCCCCACAUAUUUUUUAGAUUAAGCAACAGUUGAACUGUUUAUCUCAAGGUUCCCUUGAUAUCAAUACUUUUUAUACUUGCUUGAAAAUACUUUGGGAUGAACUCAAAAAUUUUCAACCCGUUCUCGUUUGUCAAUGUGGUGGCAUGAAAGCAUGUAUGAAUUAUCAACAACAAGAAUAUGUGAUGCAAUUUUUUAUUGGCUUAAACGAAUCUUAUUUUGGGAUGCGUAGGUAGAUUUUGAUGCUUGAUCCAUUACCCCUUGUUGUGAAGGUUUUCAAUCUUGUUGUUCAAGAAGAACGACAACACACCAUCGGAUCUGGUUCCCCUGCUUCAUCUGAAUCCCUGGCAUUUAGCACCCCCUCAUCAUCUCCCUCUGUCGCAGCUUCCUCUUCUCAAAGUAAGCCCAAACGUAAUCUCCUGAUCUGUUCUCAUUGUAGGCUCACAAAGGCAUACUGUGGACCUUUGCUACAAGUUACAUGGGUACCCACCUGGGUACAAGCCCAAACCCAAGGCCCAAUUAAGCUCCCUUCAAUCCACCAACAUCGAUAAUUUAGAUAGAUUGUCAUUUAUUGUAUGAUACUCUUUUUCUAAAUUUUGAAAUAUGGAAUUUAGUUUCUAUUAAAAUGAAUUAAAAUAAAAGUAUAUCCAUAAAAAAAUUUUGAUCUCUUUGUACAGGUUUGAUCAAAAUUACUAAAGUUGAAAAAAGGAGUUGAGAAAGAAACAAGAAAGCUAAAAAAAGGAGAAAGAUUAUGACUUCUUUUUAAAUAGUUGGUAACUUAUGAGAUUCUUUGAAUUGCAAUGUUAUAUGUUUUAGCUUUAUGAAUUUCUUUUCAAUGUAAUUAUAAAACAUCUUUUUCUAGAUAUGAACAUAUAAUUAAACCAUAUAAAAUUACUACACCUAGCUAGAGCAUUAAUUUGGUACCUAUAAAAAAGUAUCAUCAAUUAGUUGAUAUCACAUGUGCAAUUCAAUUCUCAUUGCUUUGUAUCCAAGUGUUAUUACUUUAUACCUCUUAUAUCAUCUUAUUGCAUUGGACCUUGAUCUUGUUUAUUUAUAAUUUGGUCACAUAUGUUCAUAACCAGGUCCAUAUGUUUGUACUUUCAUUCAAUGACCCAAAUUUGAUCUUUGGUAGGUACAAUUUUGGUACUUAGAUUUUCCAAAAUUCUUACUAUUUGCUNNNNNNNNNNNNNNNNNNNNNNNNNNNNNNNNNNNNNNNNNNNNNNNNNNNNNNNNNNNNNNNNNNNNNNNNNNNNNNNNNNNNNNNNNNNNNNNNNNNNNNNNNNNNNNNNNNNNNNNNNNNNNNNNNNNNNNNNNNNNNNNNNNNNNNNNNNNNNNNNNNNNNNNNNNNNNNNNNNNNNNNNNNNNNNNNNNNNNNNNNNNNNNNNNNNNNNNNNNNNNNNNNNNNNNNNNNNNNNNNNNNNNNNNNNNNNNNNNNNNNNNNNNNNNNNNNNNNNNNNNNNNNNNNNNNNNNNNNNNNNNNNNNNNNNNNNNNNNNNNNNNNNNNNNNNNNNNNNNNNNNNNNNNNNNNNNNNNNNNNNNNNNNNNNNNNNNNNNNNNNNNNNNNNNNNNNNNNNNNNNNNNNNNNNNNNNNNNNNNNNNNNNNNNNNNNNNNNNNNNNNNNNNNNNNNNNNNNNNNNNNNNNNNNNNNNNNNNNNNNNNNNNNNNNNNNNNNNNNNNNNNNNNNNNNNNNNNNNNNNNNNNNNNNNNNNNNNNNNNNNNNNNNNNNNNNNNNNNNNNNNNNNNNNNNNNNNNNNNNNNNNNNNNNNNNNNNNNNNNNNNNNNNNNNNNNNNNNNNNNNNNNNNNNNNNNNNNNNNNNNNNNNNNNNNNNNNNNNNNNNNNNNNNNNNNNNNNNNNNNNNNNNNNNNNNNNNNNNNNNNNNNNNNNNNNNNNNNNNNNNNNNNNNNNNNNNNNNNNNNNNNNNNNNNNNNNNNNNNNNNNNNNNNNNNNNNNNNNNNNNNNNNNNNNNNNNNNNNNNNNNNNNNNNNNNNNNNNNNNNNNNNNNNNNNNNNNNNNNNNNNNNNNNNNNNNNNNNNNNNNNNNUGUAUAAAUGGAUUUUUGUUAUUAUUGAUACAUGUGGAUUAUGGAUUUUUGUAGCUUAUUUUCCAAAUACAUGUGGUAUUUUUGCGUGAUUGAAUAUUUUUUAAAUUAUCAUGGCUCAUACCAUUUCUUACCAUGCUUAUCUAAAUCAAUAAUUAAAAUUCAAUAACCAACCGGGUUACCCCUGAACAAGAUGUCAUGGCUUGAUCCCAAUUGGUUAUAUAUAUUGUAAGAACUUAAUUUUUUAGAUAAAAUUAAUUAUGAAAAUAAAAUUAUUAACAAAAUUAAAGAGAGAGGGAGAGAUGACAAUUGACAAGAGUAAAAGAAUGUUUGGUUUUUUAAUUUUUUGUUUAAAGUAAUUUGUUUUCAAACUCUAGGUUAUUUAUUUUUAUACUUUUUCAUAACUUAUUAUAAAUUUUUUGUUGAAUAGAAAAAGUAAAAAUAUUUGACUUUUUCUAAAUAGAAAAAGUAAUAUAUUAGUUUUUUUUAUUUCAUAUUUAAUAGAAAUAAAAUAUUAUAAAAAAAAUAACCUAUCACUUAACACUAUUAAACACUAUUUAUAAAGACAAACAAACAAACACCAUAUAAGAGUGCUCUUAAAAAAAAAUUAAAGAAUUUUAUUUUAUUUUAUUUUAUUUUUAUAAGGAGACAAACAUUUCCCUUCAUAUAAAGUAUUUUUAUAAUCAACGUGAUACUUCUUACACAUUUUUUUUUGGUAACCGAAAAAUCCUUCUUACAUGUUCUUUCUACUAAUGAAAAAAAUUAAACACGAAAAAAGAAAAAGGGAUUUUAGUUAUUUAAUUAUUAAAAAUAGUUUAAAAAUUGAAGUUAAAAUAUUUUUAUCACCUCGAAUUUCAUAUUCAAAAGCAUAUAAGGUAAGUCCUCAUUUUUUUCUCUAUAAAAGUUUUUAUAUUUUAUUUAUCCACUUAAGUUUUUAGCAAGUUUAUUUUUUAUUUUAAUUUAAUUUAUAUUGAAUGAGUAAUUUUAAGGCAGAAAUUUAUUUUCUUUUAAUUAUUAAUUAAUUAUAUAAGUAACAAAAUUAAUUAUUCAAGGUUCAUUAAAUGAAAAAUAUUGUAUAUGAAGAAAUAUCCUUGCAACAAGAGCCAGGCAGUCUAUUAAUACAUAUUAUCAUCUAUGCAUUUUUCCUCUACACUUCCAAUUUGAAUUAAUCCCAGGGAAUAUACUCCCAUCCAGUCUAAUUUUUAGAUGAUCGAGAAACAAUCUCAACCAUUAAUAUGGGAAAGGCAGAUUUUUUAGUAUUUAUAACCAUUUGCAUUUUUUUUCAUUAGCCGGAAAAAAAAAAGUUAAUAAUUCAACACUAAAUACACAAUCAUUUUCCCUUUCAAAGUUUUAGUUAUAAUAUUCCUUUAAAUUAUGUCUGGUUCUUGAAAAGUAUUAAAAAAAGAAAAAUAAAAUGUUAAAGAAAAUGAUUUUCUUAUGUUUGAUUUUACAAUAGAAAAUACAAAAGAAAAUUAAAUAAAAUUAAAAUAAUUAGUUGAAAAUUUAUACAUUUUAAAAUUGUAUAAUCUUUAUAUCAAUGAGGAAAUUAAGUAAAAUGAAUUUGAAGAAAUAUAUAAAAAUAAUUUAUUAAUUUUGAAUUUAUUUUUUAUUUUUCUUCGAUUUUUCUUUUCUUUCUCCUUUUUUUUUUUUUUUCUUUCCCUCAUACUUUUUCUCAAAUUUUUCGAGAACCAAACAUAGCAUUGGAAUAUAUAUUUUUUUAAAAUCUUUUUAAUUAUUUUCAAGUAUAAAAUGAUAUAAAAAUUCACUCCUAUCAUCUCAACUUUUUCCACAAUCAAACCUAGAAAAACUUUUAAUUCUAAAUCCUCAUGUCCAUUUCAUUCAGCAUUGUUAUCUUUAUUUUCUCUAUGGACUCAAGACAAGGUUCUCCUAUUUCUAAUGGGCUAUAAUAGAAUUUCUAAGAGGCUUAUGUGGCCUCGAAGAAAAAGAACUCUUUGGCCCACAUUACGUUGUUAAGCUAUAUGCAAGAUGAUCUCUUGAUUGAGUAUGAGGUCUACCAAACUGCUCAUGAAAUGUGGGAAGCUUUAAAGGAAAAGUAUAAUGGACUUUCAGCUACAAAGUUGAGAGAAUUUGUAAUGAAAUUUGAAAUUACAAGAUGCAACCGAACCAUAUAAUGAAACAACAUCUCAAGGAGAUGAAAAGAAUAAUAAGAGAGCUUAAGACAUCUGGACAUGUCUUCAUUGAUGAGCAACAAGUUAAGACAGUCAUCAAAUAUCUACCAAAAAGUUGGGAACACAUGAUGGUGAACAUAACACAUAAUGAGAGAGUCAAUACCUUGACGAUAUAGUUCGCCAUCUUGAAUUGGAAGCCGAGUGACUUAAGGUUGCUAAGCCUAAUGAACAAUCUUAUGUAGUUGAAUCUAAUUCUUGCAAAACUUUUGACUUUAAGCAUAAUAGAAAAUUCUUUAAGAAAAAUAAGAAAUCUGAUGAUGCUUUAAAGAAAGGAAAGAUUGGGGCAUGUAAGAAGUUCAAGUGUGCUAAGAGAGAUAAGAGCAAGUUGAAAUGCUACAACUAUGGCAACAAGGGUCACUUCACUUGUGAGUGCAUUGAGCCGAAACAGGUAUGAUCCUAUUCAAAAAACCUAUAUGCUUAAGUAAUAACCCUCAUUUGUCUUAAUUACCUCCACAAUCUCCUUUGCUACACUACGAUCUCCACAUUUACUUGACCUCCUUUACCCUAAUUAUAAUUUAUAAGGAUAAAUAUGUCAAUUUGAUGAUUUAGAUUAAGUUUUAAGUUAAUUUUUAUCAAACAAUCUUAAUACUUAAAGUAAAAAUUAAGUAAUAAAUAUUAAGUCAAUAAUUUAAGUAUAAUUUAAUUUAAAGUCAACUUAAGUCAAUAAGUAAUAAGUAUUAAACUUUACCAAACACCCCUAAAUACAAAAUCAUUUUCCCUUUGAAAGUCUUGAUUAUAUUCACUUAAAAUAUGUUUUUUUUUAAAAAUUAUUUUCAAGUAUAAAAUGAUAUAAAAAUUCACUCCUAUCAUCUCAACUUUUUCCACAAUCAAAGUUAGAAAAACUUGUAAUUUUAAAUCCUCUAUCCAUUCCAUUCAACAUCUUCAUCUUUAUUUUCUUUCCCAAUGGACUCAAGACAACUUCCUCCUAUUUCUAAGAGACUAUAAUAGAAUUUUCGACUCUAUUCUCUUACAUGCCUUGAUUUGAAUUGACUAGAUAUGACUUUUUUCCGGAUUAUUGAUAAAUAUACUGCUAUUAAAAAAAAUAAUAUUUAAAAUACCAUAGUUUGGAAAAUAAUUCCAAUUCUACUGCACUUUUGAACACGUAGGAUGAGAUAUGAAAACCCAUUCCCCCCUUUCCAUUGCCCUUCCUGCUUUUCUUCUCUGCAUCAAAACUCCUCUGCCCGAAAACCCAUUAUCCCGCACGCUGAUCAUGGGGUGGAGAUCCUUGCCUCAACACCAAUAGGAAGGAAGUGAAGUGCAGAUCUGAGGAACCAUUGCCCCCGGUGUUUUCUAUAAGUUUUGUGGUUAUAUUUGGUGGUGUGGUUGUGUUUGGUCACCGAGAAAGUGUGGGAAAGUUGUAAAAAAAAUAAAGUUUUUGUUUUUUUUUUACAAUGAAACUGAGUAGACUAAAAAUAAUGGAGAAAGUUUUAAUUUUUUUUGUGGUUCGGCUUGUUGUGAUUCUGUUUGGUUGCCAAGAAAGUGUGGGAAAGUUGAAAAAAAAAAAUUCCCAAUAUUUCCUACCAGUCCAGCCCGUGCACAGGAUACAAAAUCUGUCCAAUUUUUUUUUAUAAAAAAACAUAAGCUAUUUGGUAAUCUGAUCAUGAUUUGAGGAGAAAGGUGAUCAUGAUUUAAGGGGAAAGGUUGUGUUUUUUAGUGUGGCUCAAAAAUCGUGGAUUUAGGGUUUGUGAAAUUUAAAUCCAAUGGCACAAAAGCAAAGAGACCCCUAGAACAGAUCCAGAAAGCACGAAGCAAAAAAAAAAAAACAUUUUUUUGUUUGUUUUUUUAGGGGGUUUUGCAUGGACUUUCUCGGAAAUCAAAGGAGGAUGAAUUUUCCCGGAAAGCAAAUGGGGGAUGGAUUUUCUUGGGAAUCAAACGGGGAUUGCAAAAACUUGGGAAUCAAACGGGGAUUGCAACAAAAUAAAAAAAUAAUAACCUCAUUAGAUUAGUACCUGCAUUGAAAUUGAAAUUGAAAUUGAAAUUGAAAUUGAAAUUUAAAUUCAAGGAGAUUUUUCACUUUUUAUUUGUUAAAAUAAAAAAUAAAAAUACUAUCUUUUUAUUUGUUAAAAUUAAAAACAAAUAAGAAAUAUUUUUAUUGUUGAAAAUGUCCCUUUUCAAAAUUCGAAAUUUUCACUGAAAAAUUGUUGAAAGUGUCUCUUCAAGAGACAUUUUCAGUAUAAACCCAAUUUUUUAAAAAUUAUGAAAGGCGUCCGAAUAUAAUUCCAUUUUUUUGUAAUUAUGGAAGGUGUCUCUUCAAGAGACACCUUCAGCAUAAAUUCAAAAUUUUCCAUUGUUUGAAUGGAAAUUGUAGAAAGUGUCUUUUGAACAAGCACUUUCAGUAUAAACCCAAUAUUUUUAAAAUUGUGGAAGGUAUCAAGAGACACAUUUCACAAUUCCCAAAAAAUGGAAUUAUAUUGAAGGUGUCUCUUCAAGAGACACCUUCUAUUAUUUUAAAAAAAUUGGGUUUAUAUUAAAAGUGUCUCUUGAAGAGACACUUUCCGCAAUUUUCAUACAUUAAAGAGAGACAUCUUUAGCUUUAAAAUCAUUUCCACAAAUAAAAUACAUAUUGGAUUUUGUGGAAUUGUGUAAAGUGUUUUUCCAAGAGACACAUUUAGUAUAAAUCUAAUUUUUUGGAAUUCUAGAAUGUGUUUCUUGAAGAAACACCUUUGACACAUUUGGUAUAAUUAAAAUUUUUAGGAAUUGUAGAAGGUGUCUCUUCAAAAGACAUCUUUAACUUUAAAAUCAAAUUCAUAAGACAUUCAAAUUUGUCAAAUUGUGGAAAGUGUCUCUUCAAGAGACACCUUUAAUACAAAUUGGAUUUUUUGUCACGUGGAAAGUGUCUCUGCAAGAGACACCUUUAAUGCAUAUUGGAUUUUUUGCCAUGUGGAAAGUGUUUUUUCAAGAGACACCUUUAAUAUAAAUCAAAAUUUCUGAAAUUGUAGAAAGUGUCUCUUUAAGAGACACCUUCCACGUGGCCAAAACUGCCGUAAAUCUAUCAAUAUUUUCAAAACUACCAUUUUUUAAUUAUAAUUUUUUAAAAUUGCCGCAAAAGUUAAAAAAGCCCCUUUUUUCCACCUUUAAUUAAGUCUACGUGUAACUCCUCAAAUAUUUUCACAAACAAUAUUAUUUGCUAAUAUAACAACAUACUUGUAGAAAAAAAAAGAUACACAUUACUUAAAAAUAGGAUAAAUUUCUAUCAAUGUCUAUCUCAAAUGAAUAGUUCUCCAUCCAAUUUUAAUAACAAUCAAAUUGAACAUAUUCCCAUAUUCAUUAAGUAUAAGAAAAUAGAGUUUUAAUUAUUCAAGGUCAAAUUCUCAAUAGUUUUAUUCACUUUGGUAAAACAAAUUCAAUAGUUUUAAUUGUGGAUUGUUAAUUACAUGGUUGAUAUUGUUUGUUAGUUUAGCUCCUUUCAAGAAGAUAUUUAAUUGUGUAUUUAUUGACUAAUGAGAUUUGUAUGUAAUUAAAUUUGUGCCCUUUUAAACUUUUUCAUUAAAUAAUAUAAAGAUCGAGAACAAACUUCCUCGUGAUUUUUGAAAGCUCAAAUUUUUUGGUUUCAUCAAAGAAGUUAUUUGAGAAUUGAAAUACAACAUAUGAUGAAGUAUCUAGGGCCUACAAUUGGUACAUUAAAUAUCACCUUAUUGGUUAAUUACAUGGAAUGUUGGCCAUCAUGUCUUCAAUAAAAUGGCCCAAGGAAAAGUGCGACGAUCCACCCUCUAUCAUCACUUUUCUACUUAUUUUUUUCAUUUCUUCCCUCUUCUUCCUCACUUCAUUGUCAAUAUUCAUUAGAUUCUUUAAUCCAAUUUCAAUCUCCCGAGCACUUACAACAUAACUAAUAUCCUUAUUAUAAUUCAUUUUAAUCUUUACGGCUAAUCCCAAAUCUUUCACCAUUUGAAACGCAUUGAUUCGUUGUUCUGCAAACAUCGGCCACGUGGCUACAGGAACACCAUAAAAUAUGCUUUCUAACGUAGAAUUCCAUCCGCAAUGAGAUACAAAUCCUCCAACCGCUGAGUGGGCCAAAAUAGCUACUUGUGGAGCCCAUCCGAUCACCUUUCCAAUCCUGGCUGUCCGGUGUAAGAACCCUUCUGGUAGAACUUCCUCCACAUUUGCAUAAUUGCUUCGAGAUUCUAUUUUACCCUUUGACGAGGGUUGACGAAGGGACCAUAGGAAGCGAUGCCCGCUGCGUUCUAGCCCAUGUGCUAUCUCUUUGACCUGAUCCCCACCAAAGCCUCCCAUGCUCCCGAAGCACAGGAAUACCACUGAUGAUGGAGGCUGAUCAUCAAGCCAGCUCAUGACGGCACUAGCAUCUUGUUGACCCCCAACAGAUCCCCCUUGCGUCUUAAGUACUGGUCCAACGGGGUAGACCGGGGGUAUUGUACUGCCAGAAAAUGAUUGAAUAGCAUGUGACUCGAGCUCAACAAGUGUAUUUACCAUAAUACCCUUGACUUGUCUGAACCUCCUUGUGUGAUACAGAAACUUCUCAGCCCCACCGCCUUCCUUGCCAAACAUCAAAGAAGGAAAGACCUUACCUGGAACCGGGUUGGCAUAACUCGGAACCUCCAGCUCAGCAUCCGAGUCCUUGAACUCAUUGAAAUCCAAGCCCUCAUUAUCAUGGAGGAACUGAAGAUGGAACAUGAAGCCAAGAAAAGCGGCGCUGGAAGUGAAGAAGAGAUAUGAAGGCACCUCAAACUCAUCGGCCACAUCAAUCAUGGAGGUGCAGAACAUAUCAAUAACGAACCCACCGAGCCGAACGGAGUUGGAGCGAGUGAUCUCGUGGACUGCGUCUCUGACGAGUGGUAUCUGAGGUUUGAGGAAUUCAGUGAUCCCUGUAGUUCCAGGGCUGACCUCUACAGGAGGAAGUGUGAGGAAACGUAUGGAAUCAGAGUCGGAGGUCAUACUAUCAUUGGACCCAAACGGAAACUUCAUAAUCAAGAUUGUGAUUGACAAUCGGCGGUCUCGGUGAGUCAUCAGCUUUGCAAUCUCCACUGUGGCCACAAGGUGGCCGAUCCCAGGAGAUGGGAUGAAGACAAGCUCAGUUUGCUUCAUCACUAACCGGCGAUUACUGCAAAGAGAGAAAAAUAUUGGAUGUUUUGAGGGCUUUGUGGUGCGGUGACACAUACUUGUUGCUGAAUGGGUUAUAAACGACCUUUCAAUAGUCUUGGCGGGCGAGGAACCGAUGUCAUGGCUUUGCUGGUUCAGUCUAUUUUAUUCUACUUCUCGUUUUUCUAUGAUUUGGGGUUGCCCAUUAUCGAAGUUCGAGGCAACUGUCGGUGGUUCUGGAUUUCCGUCAGUUUAGUGUAAAACAAACAAUUAAAUGUAUGAUUUGUGGUUCCCCAUUAUCGAAGUUCGAGGCAACUGUCGGUUGUUCUGGAUUUCCGUCACUUUAUUGUAAAACAAACAAUUAAAUGUAUGAUUCAUUCCGACUUGAGGAAGGAUCCAAAUAGGUAAGGCUACACUUUUCACAUUAAGUCCUUAAUUCCUAAUAUUGGGGCCAAAUUUUGUGAAGGUAACCUUUAUUGGUUUAAAGUUGUAAAUAAAAAACUUACAAGAGUAAAAAUAUCAUAAUUUUUCUUAAAAAUUUGUUUUAACAUAAAUGGAUGAAAAAAGGUUUUAACGAAUGAUACUUUUAUUCCAAAAGUUUGUCAUUUUCAUUAUUUAAAUAAAAAUGAAAAGCAUUAUUGAAAAUGGAGAUUAUUUUAAUCAAAUAUGUCAAUUUUUUUUUUUUUGAUGUCUUUUCAAUUACAAAACUAAAUAUGUAGGAAGUGUUAUAUUCAUGACAAAAACAUAUUCAUGGGUUGUGCUCACAAUUUUUUAUGCAUAUAGUAAAGUAAUAACUUUUAUUUCCAUUCAAAUUGAUUCAAUUAUUAUCUUGGUUAAUUAUUAAGAUUAUUGAUUUGGAUUAGCCCUGAGAGAAAUUAUGUGAGUCACAGUACUCAAAAAUAUUUUUAAUCAUAUAAAAAUACAAGAUAUAUCUAAAAAGAAAAACAAUUACAAAGAUUGUCUCAAUUUCCGUAGAUGCAAAAACAACUAAGUCUAUGGACUAUUAUAAAAAUUCACUAAAUAUAAAAGAAUUGUACAGAGUUACCUAGCCCAUUUACCUUUUUCUACAAGUCUUAUAUGAAUAAGCACUUUUCCUUUCAUCUCAAGGUUUAAGAACUCAAAAUUUCAACAUUUUCCUUUCAUCUUUGAAAGGACUUUUAAGAUUUUUUUUCACCCUUGAUGUUGAUUUUCUAGAGUAUCGAAACGAGGAAAACAAUGAUUGUCUUGUAGAUUUUAUUACAGUUUUUUGUUUCACACCCUAAAAUGAAAUUUUAAAAUCCUUUUCAUAUCUAAACCUUGGGUAUUUUAGUUGUACCAUAUUAUAAAAAAAUUUAAUAGGCGUUCAGAGUCAUCAUUCUCAUAGGCAUUUAAAGCCAUCAUUUUCAAAUGCAUUAAGAUCCACCAUUUUCAAAGGCAUUCAGAGCCACCACCAUUUUCAUAGGCGUUCAAAGCCACCAUUUUCAUAAGCGUUCAAAGCCACCAUUUUCAUAGGCGUUCAGAGUCACCAUUUUCAUAGGUGUUUAGUGCCAUCAUUUUCAUAGGCGUUCAGAGCCAUCAUUUUCAUAGGCGUUCAAAGCUACAAUUUUCAGAAGCGUUUAGAGCCACCACCAUUUUCAUAGGCAUUCAGAGCCACCACCAUUUUCAUAGGCAUUCAGAGCCACCAUUUUCAUAGGCGUUAAGAGCCAUCAUUUUCAUAGGGGUUAAGAGCCACCAUUUUCAUAGGCGUUCAAUGUCAUCAUUUUCAUAAGCAUUCAGAGACAUAAUUUUCAUAGACAUUCAAAGCCAUCAUUUUCAUAGGCGUUCAGAGCCAUCAUUUUCAUAGGCGUUCAGAGCCAUCAUUUUCAUAGGAGUUCAGAACCACCAUUUUCAUAGGCGUUCAGAGCUACCAUUUUCAUAGGCAUUCAGAGACAUCAUUUUAAUAGGCGUUUAGACCCAUCAUUUUAAUGGGCGUUUAGAGCCACCAUUUUCAUAGGCAUUCAGAGCCACCAUUUUCAGAGGUGUUCAGAGCCACCAUCAUUUUCAUAGGCGUUCAGAGAUAUCAUUUUCAUAGGUAUUCAAAGCCACCAUUUUCAGAGGCGUUCAGAGCCACCACCAUUUUUAGAGGCGUUCAGAGCCACCACCAUUUUUAGAGGUGUUCAGAGCCACCACCAUUUUCAUAGGCGUUCAGAGCCACCAUUUUCAUAGGUGUUCAAAGCCACCAUUUUCAUAGGCUUUCAGAGCCACCAUUUUCAUAGGCGUUUAGUGUCAUCAUUUUCAUAGGCGUUUAGAGCCAUCAUUUUCAUAAGCAUUCAGAGCCACCAUUUUCAUAGGCGUUCAGAGCCACCAUUCGUUCAGAUGCAUCAUUUUCAUAGGCAUUCAAAGCCACCAUUUUCAGAGGCAUUCAAAGCCACGACCAUUUUCAUAGGCAUUCAGAGCUACCAUUUUCAUAGGCGUUUAGAGCCACCAUUUUCAUAAGCGUUCAGAGCCACCAUUUUCAUAGGUGUUCAGAGCCACCAUUUUCAUAGGCGUUCAGAGCCACCAUAAUUUUCAUAGGCGUUCAAAGCCACCAUCAUUUUCAUAGGCGUUCAGAGCCAUCAUUUUCAUAGGCGUUUAGAGCCACCAUUUUCAUAGGUGUUCAAAGCCACCAUUUUCAUAGGCGUUCAGAACCACCUUUUUCAUAGGCAUUCAGAGCUAUCAUUUCCAUAGGUAUUUAGAGCCACCAUUAUUUUCAUUGGCGUCCAGAGUCAUUUCUAUUCCAUUUAGAGCCCUAGAGUUGUUUUUUCAUCUAUGACCCAAAGUCAUCCUUUUCCACGUAGAGCCUUAAGCUCGCGACAGAGAGUUGUUCCAUUUUUGUGAUUGCAACCUGAUGUUCCAAGCUUACUCUCGUCAUGUGCUAGGACAAAAUCUCUGGUCCUUUUCUUUUAGUUCUUUGGUAUAGUUCACUUCGUUUUGCUCAUUAUUCGUAUUUUUACUCACAUUCCCUACACUUGUGAUCUUUGCCGAAGAUGGACAUAUUUGUAGAACCUUCAUUUUGUUCUCCUAGCACAUGUCCUGUUUGGUAUUUAUUCGAUACUUUACAGCAAUUCCCUGGUGGCCCAUUACUACUUGUGUAGCCUAUUUUUUCUAAGCCACCUUGGAGACUUUAGUUGAGGGAUUUAUCUAACCCUAUUGUGACUCUUGGCAACCCUAUUUAGACUUAGGAUCACUUAGACACCCUAGGCCCAUUUAGACACCCUAGGCCCAUUAGGCACUACCCUAGACCCACCUACGAAUACCUUGGUCCUUUAAGCACAUCUAGAUCUUUCAAACACACCCUAGCCAACUUAAACACUACCUAAGUCACCUAGGCACCUACCAACUUAUGUCACUGUAGACCCCCAUUUUCGGGAGCUGCCAUUCUUCUCACGUUUCCUUUCUUGCAGCUAGCUGUGGCCAAGUGUCACCAUCUUGCAUGGCCACGUGUCACUCCCGGAUUAGUCAAUAUGGGAUUAAAAUAGUGGAAUCACUAUGGUGGAAUUGAUGGACCAAUCAGAGGAAGACACCUGGAAAGUGAAGAACAUUCUGGAAUCAGGGGAGCGUAUCUUCUGUUAUGGGAAGGUUGCCAGCUGCAGGAGAGGAUAGUGGAGGCUGGCAGAGUAGUGGGGACAAAGGCUUGGCCGUUAGAGAUAUUUUUGAGGGAGAGGAGAGCUUGAGAGUUGAGAGAGGGAAGAUAAGAAAAACGGAGCAUGUUUCUGGAGGGUGGGUGCUGAUUUUGCAGUGAGCAGGCUGCUAGGGAAGAGGUUUUGGAGCUUAGAGGAGAGAGAUUUUAGGGAGGCAGCGGUGUGAGGUUGCUUUUUGGGGACGUGCGGCCUGGAGAGAUUUCUGGGGGAGAAAAACAAAGAGAGGGGAGAGACCGAGGAGGAGAUUUUUCGGGAGAGGAUUCCUUGAGUUUAGGCUGCUACGGAGGGAAGGCUUGGAGGAGAUCCAGGGGAGCUGAGGAGAAAGCGGCUAGAGAGAGUUAUCCAGAGAAGGAAUAGCUGAAACAGAGGGAAAAAGGAGGAGGGCUUGCUGAUUUCUGGUUGACUUUUUCAGAGAGGAAAACUUUCAGAUUUCCUAUCUUGGCACGAAAAGGUAAGGCACCGUGAGAUUCUCAGUGGAGGGAUAUUCCAGAAAGCAAGUUUUAGGCUAGAGAAGGAGAAGAGAGUAUUAUGUUUGGAGAAAUUUAUGGGCUAGUGAUUAUUUGAGAGUUGCAGACGGCUGGAGGAAACGAUGAGCUGAGAGUGAAGGAAAACGAACUUGAGAAAGAAAUAGAGCAAGUAAAGUUGUCCUCAAACGAAAGCCGCCGGCGGCGAAACGCCUCCGCCAUCACCAGAACGCCAAGCAACCAUUGAAUCUCUUUCACUUUCCUUCUCCUCUGAUGACCUCUGCAGCAUAUGCCUAGAUAGAGGAGAACCAUGAUGUAUUCUGAAGCUUCUUGGGUUUUAUGAGGAGAGCUCGGAGUAUAUUCAGGUUGACGGAAGGAAGGUAUUCAUUUGGAUAACAGAUUUAAUGGGACAAGUGAUCUAUGGGACGAACACAGCAGCUUUGAGUACAGCUCCGCUCGACAAUGGGUUGAGUUGUGGCUCGGGUGACUCACCAGGAGGUGUCACUUGUACCAAAAUUUGGCUGAUCAAGCAGUCAUCACCACAUGAUCUGAGACAUCAGUUUUCCACCUGCUUCGUCAAGCUUCAUCGACCCAGAAACACAGUCAACAGUCAUCACUGCCACGACGUGGACCCGCCGGAACGUGGCAGGAUGGUGAUCGGAAACAUUCACCAUUGUCAUUACUGUUGAGGGCCACGUGUUGACCAUUAUAUCUUUGCUUGAACUAUUAUUGUUUCUGUUGAUUGAGGCGUCAUGCAAUGCUAAGUCUCUGCACUCAGGUUGAGAUUUUGACUUCGCGGAUUAUCCCAAAGUGAGGAAUUGGAACAGAGAAGAGUUCUAGUAGGAAGAAAACUGGAAGUGUCACCAGUUUCUGGAUGGACCACCUUCCAUUGGUUUGAGACCUAUGAACUCAUCUAAUACAAUAUCUGGUGUAGGACCAUAUAAUCAAUUCAUUCAGCAGUAUCAACAGCUUCAGAGUCAGUCUCAAUUUCGCAUGGGGUAAAUGUCGGCAGUUGGUCCACAUGGAGACCAGGACUUGAAGUCACCAUCACCAAAACCUGGCAUUGAUGAGUUUGGUUUGCGUGGUUUGUUGAAGGUCAUAAGGAUGAAUAAUCCAGACUUGACCUCCCUUGCUUUGGGAAUGGAUCUUACAACACGGGGUUUGAAUUUGAAUGCUUCAGACGAUCUUCACAAAAGGUUUGCCUCUCCAUGGGUUGAAGAACCUCACAAGGGGAAGCCCCAAUACAGUAUCCCAGAAUGCUAUUAUGAUAAACAACCGCCCAUGCUUAAUCAAGCCUAUUUUGCAAAACUACAUCUGGAGACAUUAUUUUAUGUCUUUUACAGCAUGCCGAGAGAAGAGGCACUGCUAUAUGCAGCACAUGAACUGCAUGCUAGAGGAUGGUUCUACCACAAGCAGCAAUGGCUGUGGCUGACUAGGAAUGCAAGCAUGAGGCCCCUUGUCCAAUCUUAGCACUCGUAUAUGUACAUAUUCAUUGUUCACUGAUCUUGCUUCAUGAUAGCGCAUUUGUCACUGGAGGUCCAGGUGCGCACUCAUUCUCAUCCUGAUCAUUCACUGUACAUAUUAUUCUCAUAUACGCAUGAUUGAUGUGAGUAUCCGCUGAUUUUCUUAUUGAUUGGCAUGUCAGCUUCAUUUUAUUAGUAGAGACCCGACUUUAGGGACUUAGAGGGGUGCUACGGUCUUUAUCGUACCUUCCCGAUAAGUAACCUGACCCCCGAACCCGAUCCGGUUUUUCACAGACCAACUUUUUUCCAAAACAAGGAGUCACACUUAGGGUUUUUCUUUCUUAUUUUGUUUACCCUUUAAAAAUAAAAUAAAAAUAAGUGGCGACUCCAAGUCAUUUUUCAAACAAUAAAUAAAAUCAAUUUUUCAAAUAAAAAUCGAGCUCGUCAUCGAGUGGGAAACGCAUUGAGCAUGAAAUGCGGGGUCCACAGUCACCUAGUCACCUUCCCAUUUAGGACACUUAGAAUUUUUUUUUUUUUUAUGAUAGGUUCCACUUAGAUGUUUUCCAAGCUUAGUUCACUUAGGUUUGAUUUCUUGAUUUUGAUUGCUCGAUUUUGAGUUCAGGUGUGUAUUGGCUUGAUUUUGAUUUUGAUUUUAAGUUCACAAGAUUAAUUUUUUCAUUUUGAAUUACAUAUGUGAUAUCUAUUUAUUCACUUAUUUAUUUAUUUAUUUUCUUGGAUGUGGUUGAUCUUAUUUUUUGUCGUUGUUUAAAUUUGCAUGUUUUCUAAUUUUAUUACUUAUUUACUAUUUGCAUGAUUCCUAUUUGAUUCAUUUUAUUUUAUAUUUGUGUAGGGAUCUUCUCCAAAAAGGAAGACAAGUGAAAGUCCACAGUUGCAGAUGGAGAACAAUUUUUAGGGAAUGCACAAAAGAGAUUUUUUUUGGUUUUGGAAGGUUUAAGAAUCUCUUUGGAACCUUUGAGAUUGUUUUUGGAUAAAAGGCUCUCUUUAGGAAGAUAUCAUAGAGAGUUUGAAAGGGAGGUUAGACUUGCGAUUCUAGAAAAAGAGAAGUACGUGUCUACAAUAGAGGGUUUUGGAGGAGAGCACAGAUUGCAAAAGAAAGAUAAGAGGGUUGACUAAUUUUUUUUUGGAAAGAAGGAAUCACGCGGGUCAGAGAAAAAAAUAAAUUUCAACACAUCUUGAAAAUGAGAUCUAGAGAGGUGAAAAGAGGGAGAGUGGAGUCGAAAAGAGGUGAGUCGCACCAUUGACAGGAACCAGAGUGCAACCCUCAGGUUUUUCAGAUUCAAGGAAACCUUCGGUAAUCGGUGUUUACCUGCAAGUUUAGUUUUAGAAACUCCGGUGACCGAAGCUUGAAAUCAAAAUCAUCAAUUUCAUAAGCAAGCACACAACCAGCAGGCAUUCUGGACAUGUUCCAUGGAGAUUUAGAAUUCUGGAAGGAAAGAAAGGGAAGAAAGGUUGGAAGAAAGAUAUUCUAUAGCAGAGGCCUGGUUUGGCUUACGUUCCAGGAUGUUGUGUCUCCAAUGGAUCAGAUAAUCAUGUAAUAUCAAGGGAGGAGCAGGAUGUUUAUGCUAUUCAGAGCUUUGAGCAUGGUAUUGUUGCCCAAGAUGGUGGUUUCUUUGCAUGGGCGCAGUAUUGUUGCCGAAGAUGGUCGUUCCUUUGCAUGGGAAAUUGUUUUGGUUGAAGUUUCUGGUGGAAAAUGGAACACCCAUGUAGGAGGCAUCCUUUCCAGAACGUUAUUUGUUCGUAAUUUCACUAGUAAAGCUAAAGAUUUAAUUUUGGAAGAACAUGAUGAGAUGGUUAAUUGUUAAAGGAGAUCAUCACCAGAUUUUUUAUGGAUAGAAAGAGAGAGAUGGGUGUCUCCGCCAAGGAAGAGCAGUAGCAAAGGCUGGGGUAUGGGUUUUCUUCUGGUCUUCUUCCCUGAAGACGACUCCAUUAUCAACAACAAGAAGAAUCUCUUAUGUUCUUAUUCUUCCUUCUUGAAAUCCACCAUGAGAACCCAUAGCUUCAACAUCUUCACCAGGGUGCAAUCCACCAUCUCCAUCUGCGCCUUGAUCGUCUUUAUCACCCACCACCAUUGUAGCCUCCUCACCCCACUCCAUUGCCUUUCGGAGAUGGCUAUCACAGAAAUCUACGGCUAGCAAGCUCAGUGCCACACCCAAGACCUCCAAACCCAUCCGCAAUUCCUUGUUCUCCACCACCUGGUUUCGAAAAGAGUGGAGAAGCAAUUCGCAGAAAUCAUCCUCUUUUGUGUUACAAGGCAUGGGCUGUUUGUAUAGAAGAGGCACUAGAGAGAUGAAUGAUCUUGUUGACGGUCAUGUGACUGAGGAUGUUACUUAGGACCAGUUUCGUGUGUUCUUGAGGGCAUUGUAUCGAUCCUCCAUCUUCGCUAGAACAGAUGUUUUAAUCUUUUCUUCAUUGUCGGCAUCGGAACUUGGGCCUAUAGUUCAGGAAGAGACCGAGUCUGUCUCGAGACUAGUUCAUCGCUAUGGCGAGUUGAAUAGCAUGAGUGAGGAGUCCGGAGUGACGAGUUUUGAUGUCACCCAGUUCUUCAAAUUGGGAAAAGAGGAGAAGACAAAGGAAAGGAGCAUACCUGAGAGACGAAGCUCUCUUGGAUGCUUGCAAGGCAUUUGAUGUGGGUUCCUAGGCCAUGAAUGUUAUCGGCUACAUUAGAAUUAUCAUGGCUAACAAGCAGCUUAUGUCCGCCAGUGAUUAUGCAUUCAGCUUCGCCCCCACUUUAACUGGGUUUCAUUCUACUAUGUUGUUACUGCACUAAUUGGUCUGGUGUCAAAUGCUACUGGCUAUUCUGCAUCAAAGUAUGUUCCUUUGUGAGAGUUUCUCUGGUUCUCAAUUGUAGCCAAUAUGUCUAUCACAGGGAUGAAUUGAAGUCUCAGUUGGAUUCUAUCAAAUUUCAAAGCUGAGCAUGAUUCCAAUGGAAUGAUUGUUGCAGUUGCUGGAAUGAUAAUUUAUAGUUGGGUUGUGGAGAUUGAAAAGCAGGCAAAUGUGAAGAUAAUGUCUAAUGUUAAAAACAACUUGACAGAAGAGGAAAUUAGACUUCUGAAGGAUGGGAUAAAGAAGACACCAGUAAAGGAUAUUGAACUUGGUGAAUCUAAAGAAUAGAUUGACACAUGGUAGGCAAAAUAGGCAUGCAUGGGUUGAAGGAGUAUUUUGCUUUCAUAGAGAAAAAAACCCAGCGCACCAAAAGGAGGGAUCUCCACUUUCCAUUAACAAUCACAUGGCUAUAACUAAAAGGAUGCCACGGAUUCUCUUCAUGAGUACGUUUACAUUGAGGGGGUGCACAGUCCACAAUGAAGACAACCUGCAUGUAUAAAUGGAUCUCCAGUAGCACGCACUCCACAGGAGUUUUGGGAGCAACAUAGCCAUUUUGGGAGGAUAAUUCUAGUGGUGCAAAAAUUUUCAAAAAUCUUUUUUUUUUCCUUGCUGCUAGUUUUCAUGCAACCAUUGACCUUUUAGAGUUAAAAUUCGUUACAUCAACUUUAGAAUAUUUUUCAAAAAUUUCCAAAGCUUUUAUGACUUUCCUCGCUCUUUCAACUUGAAUUUAAAGUUACGUUUGAAUUAUAAUGCAAUUCCGGAAUAGAAGAUAUGAAUGAGUCUUUAGAGAGUCCUGUUUUUACCCAGUUCUGGACACCCGAGAUCUUUUUUCAAAAAUAAAAUAUCAUAUGAAUUUUUAAAUUUGAUUCAAUAUUUUUUCUCAAUUCUAGACUUCUUGAAAUUGAUUUUAGACAUAUAAAAUAUUCAAACAUAUGCCCUUUUGAGGGAGAUAUGAUUUUUCAAAGUCAUGCCUACUGUGCAUGCUGGAUUCUGGCCAUCUGACUAGUUUGAGUGUUUUAAAAAUAUUUUUGAGUACUAUCUGACCCUGUAUUCAUUUUUUAUGUUAUAUUGAGACUUAAAACUAUGUGUGAUUUUUUUUUUUAUGAUUUUAUGUGAUAAUUUAUUAUUUUUUAAAAAUUCAUUUAUGCAUAUAACUUUUUCUUAUAUAAUCCGGACUUUGUAGAACCUUUAGGUGUCUUUGCUAUAAUCUGUCCUUUGAAUGAGUGUUUGGCUUUCAAUAUGUUGAUCUAGAUGUGGAGGAGUUGUUUUCUGAAAUUUUUUGUAAUUAAAUUCUACUCUAAGCCAUUUUUUUAGAAAUUAUUUUAUGAUAUUUCCUUUUCUAACUGCAUGCUGAUGGUUUUAUACUUUACUUGAAAUUGUUAUUAUUUUUAGAGUCAUUUGAUUUAUCUUAGCUCAAUUUUUGGUUUUGACACUGUAUAUUAGACAUAAUGGAUAUGUUAUAUAAUUUAUGCUUGUCCUAACCACUCUAGCAUUUUUGGAGGAAUCUUAUAAAAUAUACUUGCUAUCCAAUUACGCUCUUUAUCAUCUAAUUCCAAAAUUCUAUGAAAAUGCAUGUUAUCAUGAGCUAUAUCCAUGUUUGAAUGCUAUCCUUGAUUGCGUUGAUACUUGUUUGAUUAUCCAUAAUAAAACGCAUGCUGAGCGAUAUACUAUUCAAAUUAACUUUGAUUGUCUUAUGAUAGCAAGAAAGAAGUAGUUCAGGUACACACCCUAACUCUCCUUUAUGAUUGUACUUUGAUUUCUUAUUUGACAUGCUAGUAUUGAUAGAAUCUCAAAAUCAUCUUAGCCUACCUAGGUAUCUAUAAUCAACCAAUUAAUUGCCCCAUUUCCCUCAACUAGGUUGGUAGAGACCUCUUUAGGGUUUAGAGGGGUGCUACCUUUUAGAGGUACCUUCCCAAUAGGUAACCUGAUCCUUGGACAUAGACUCGGGUUUUUUAAAGACACGCUUGUCCAAAAACUAUGGAGUCAUUUCUCUAGGGUUUUCUUUCUUGUUUUAUUUUCCCUUUAAAAUAAAAAUAAAAUAAGUGGCAACUCCAACUUUUAAAAAACUAAUUUUUCACCUUAUAAAAGCAAGUCUCACCGAUUGAGUGGGGACGCAUGUGAAAAAUGCGGGUCCAUACCACCAUUACCAUCACAACUCUUUAUAUAUCCAAUUUCGUAAACUUUUAGCUCUAAAACCAUCUCCAACACCCACUUCCACGCACCAUUCAUCCUUUCCAUCACCUCCACAGUCAUCUACCAAUGUCCAUGCGCCCCCAAGUCGCGGCACUCAUAGCAUCUCUGUUAACCAUCUUUUCCACUCCGGUACCAAUAUUUUAGCAUACUAGCAUUUUUUUUGUUACAACAACUAUAUUAGUAUAGAAUAUUCUAGAUAUAGCUUGUUAGAAUAAGUGCUAAGUUGUACAACCUUGUUUGGAAAUGUAAGAUAGAGCACCCUGCUAGAUAUAUUUUUAUACCUUCACACUAUCGGUUUUCAACACAAUGAAAUGAGAAUGUGUUUUUCUCCUUGCAUUCUCUCCUUGUAAUAUGGUAUUAGAGCAUCUUCCUUCUGUUGCUCUUCCAUCUUCUUGCUAAAAUGGCUCGUGGUAAUAACACGAACUGAUUCCAACCACUCACACCUCCUUCUUCCACUAGAACCAUGGCUCAACAUGAUUCUUUUUAUUCCAUAGAUAACACUAGCAACCAUUUUUUCUUGCACAGUGGUGACCAUCUCGGAUUGAUUCUUGUUUCUCAUCUCCUCAUUGGUCACAGCUAUAACACUUAGAGUCGAGCCAUGCUCAUGACUCUCAACGCCAAGCAUAAACUCAGUUUUGUCGAUUAAUCAAUUUUGCAACCACCUCCAAAUGAUCCUUUUGUUGGGGUUUGCUCAAGAUGUAACAAUAUGGUCACUUCUUGGAUUCUCAAUACCAUUUCCAAAGAGAUUGUUGAUAGUCUACUCUACCUUGACAAUGCUCAAGCCGUUUGGGUAGAUCUACAUGAUUAGUUUCAUCAAAGCAAUGCCCCACACAUUUUUUUAGAUCAAGCAAUAGUUGAACGGUUUGUCUCAAGGUUUCCUUGAUAUCAAUACUUUUUAUACCUGCUUGAAAAUACUUUGGGAUGAACUCAAGAAUUUUCAACUUGUUCUUGUUUGUCAAUGUGGCGGCAUGAAAGCAUGGAUGAAUUAUCAAAAACAAGAAUAUGUGAUGCAAUUUUUGAUUGGCUUAAACGAAUCUUAUUUCGGGAUGCGUGGGCAAAUUUUGAUGCUUCAUCCAUUACCCCCUGACGUAAUCACCCGAUUUGUUCUCAUUGUGGGCUCACAAGGCAUACCAUGGACCGUUGCUACAAGUUACAUGGGUACCCACCUGGGUACAAGCCCAAACCCAAGGCCCAAUUAAGCUUCCUUCAAUCCACCAACAUCGAUAAUUUAGAUAGAUCGCCAUUUAUUGUGUGAUACUCUUUUUCUAAAUUUUGAAAUAUGGAAUUUAGUUUCUAUUAAAAUAAUUAAAAUAAAAAAUAUAUCCGUAAAAAAUUUUGAUCUCUUUGUAAAGGUUUGAUGAAAAUUACUAAAGUUAAAAAAUGAGUUGAGAAAGAAACAAGAAAGCUAAAAAAAAGGAGAAAGAUUAUGACUUCUUUUUAAAUAGUUGGUAACUUAUGAGAUUCUUUGAAUUGCAAUGUUAUAUGUUUUAGCUUUAUGAAUUUCUUUUCAAUGUAAUUAUAAAACAUCUUUUUCUAGAUAUGAACAUAUAAUUAAACCAUAUAAAAUUACUACACCUAGCUAGAGCAUUAAUUUGGUACCUAUAAAAAAGUAUCAUCAAUUAGUUGAUAUCACAUGUGCAAUUCAAUUCUCAUUGCUUUGUAUCCAAGUGUUAUUACUUUAUACCUCUUAUAUCAUCUUAUUGCAUUGGACCUUGAUCUUGUUUAUUUAUAAUUUGGUCACAUAUGUUCAUAACCAGGUCCAUAUGUUUGUACUUUCAUUCAAUGACCCAAAUUUGAUCUUUGGUAGGUACAAUUUUGGUACUUAGAUUUUCCAAAAUUCUUACUAUUUGCUUAUAUACAUUAUCUUUUUAUAGUUAUUUAUAUAUUGUAUUAACUUUGUUAGUGUAUUACGACAGGUUGACAAUUUCACUCCAAAAAUUAAUAGUCCGAGAUUAAUUCACUAUCAUGAGUCUUAUGUUAACAUGUUCAACUUGAAGACACAAAAUUUGAAGCCUAGGUAAGUAUGUUUUGAGUUUGAUAUUAGAACAAUACAAUAAUGUUAUACAAUUCAUAAUUUAGUUAUAACUUAAACACCAUUGGUAUUUUUUUGUUGGUUCUUCUGCCUUCCAGUCUCACAAUCUUGCAAAAAGGUGGGCUCAGACUUGUUCCGACUAAAUCCCUUCAAUGUUAAAGUCAGUUCAAAGGACUAAAGAAAAGAAUUUUCAUACCUUCAUUCCUUGUCUUGUUGUUUAUAUAGGCUUGAGUUUUGUAACCUCCACCUAGCCUUUGUAACCCCUCUUUAUUUUAGCAUUUAUCUUGCAAUGUUAACACAUUAAUGACAUUUAACAGUUAGCUAUUUAAGGCCGCUCACUGCUUACCGCUCGGAUAAGCUUGGCCAAAUAAGAUCACUCAAGCCAACCUCGCUCAAAACAGGAUGCCUAUCUAGAAGAGACAUUGCUUGAGGUGCUCACAUUUUUGUCCAUAAAAUUUUUUAAAAUUAUUUAAAAUUCAAGUUUUUCUAAAUUCAGUUUUAUUAAUUUAAUUCAACUAAAAUACCUAAGACUUUGAUAUGAAAAAGAUUUGAAAUAUUCAUUUUAGAGUGAAACAUAAAAAACUUUAAAGAAAAUUUGCAAGAUCUAUUUUUUUUAUCUUAGUUCCACUAUUCUAAAAAAUCAACAUCAAAUUUGAAAAAUCUUAAAAGUACUUUCAAGAAAGAAGGUAAAAAAAUUAAGUUGUUAAGCGUCAAUAUAGUUUUGAGGUGAUGUACUAAGGAAUAUGAUGGAGUAGUCAUGAAGAAGACGUAUAUGUGUUGAUCAGUAUAAAACUUUACAGAAGAAGCAUAUAGGCUAAGUAAAGUCAUGUAUAAAUGGAUUUUUGUUAUUAUUGAUACAUGUGGAUUAUGGAUUUUUGUAGCUUAUUUUCCAAAUACAUGUGGUAUUUUUGCGUGAUUGAAUAUUUUUUAAAUUAUCAUGGCUCAUACCAUUUCUUACCAUGCUUAUCUAAAUCAAUAAUUAAAAUUCAAUAACCAACCGGGUUACCCCUGAACAAGAUGUCAUGGCUUGAUCCCAAUUGGUUAUAUAUAUUGUAAGAACUUAAAUUUUUAGAUAAAAUUAAUUAUGAAAAUAAAAUUAUUAACAAAAUUAAAGAGAGAGGGAGAGAUGACAAUUGACAAGAGUAAAAGAAUGUUUGGUUUUUUAGUUUUUUGUUUAAAGUAAUUUGUUUUCAAAGUUAUUUAUUUUUAUACUUUUUCAUAACUUAUUAUAAAUUUUUUGUUGAAUAGAAAAAGUAAAAAUAUUUGACUUUUUCUAAAUAGAAAAAGUAAUAUAUUAGUUUUUUUUAUUUCAUAUUUAAUAGAAAUAAAAUAUUAUAAAAAAAAUAACCUAUCACUUAACACUAUUAAAUACAAUUUAUAAAGACAAACAAACAAACACCAUAUAAGAGUGCUCUUAAAAAAAAAUUAAAGAAUUUUAUUUUAUUUUAUUUUAUUUUUAUAAGGAGACAAACAUUUCCCUUCAUAUAAAGUAUUUUUAUAAUCAACAUGAUACUUCUUACACAUUUUUUUUUGGUAACCGAAAAAUCCUUCUUACAUGUUCUUUCUACUAAUGAAAAAAAUUAAACACGAAAAAAGAAAAAGGGAUUUUAGUUAUUUAAUUAUUAAAAAUAGUUUAAAAAUUGAAGUUAAAAUAUUUUUAUCACCUCGAAUUUCAUAUUCAAAAGCAUAUAAGGUAAGUCCUCAUUUUUUUCUCUAUAAAAGUUUUUAUAUUUUAUUUAUCCACUUAAGUUUUUAGCAAGUUUAUUUUUUAUUUUAAUUUAAUUUAUAUUGAAUGAGUAAUUUUAAGGCAGAAAUUUAUUUUCUUUUAAUUAUUAAUUAAUUAUAUAAGUAACAAAAUUAAUUAUUCAAGGUUCAUUAAAUGAAAAAUAUUGUAUAUGAAGAAAUAUCCUUGCAACAAGAGCCAGGCAGUCUAUUAAUACAUAUUAUCAUCUAUGCAUUUUUCCUCUACACUUCCAAUUUGAAUUAAUCCCAGGGAAUAUACUCCCAUCCAGUCUAAUUUUUAGAUGAUCGAGAAACAAUCUCAACCAUUAAUAUGGGAAAGGCAGAUUUUUUAGUAUUUAUAACCAUUUGCAUUUUUUUUCAUUAGCCGGAAAAAAAAGUUAAUAAUUCAACACUAAAUACACAAUCAUUUUCCCUUUCAAAGUUUUAGUUAUAAUAUUCCUUUAAAUUAUGUCUGGUUCUUGAAAAGUAUUAAAAAAAGAAAAAUAAAACGUUAAAGAAAAUGAUUUUCUUAUGUUUGAUUUCACAAUGGAAAAUACAAAAGAAAAUUAAAUAAAAUUAAAAUAAUUAGUUGAAAAUUUAUACAUUUUAAAAUUGUAUAAUCUUUAUAUCAAUGAGGAAAUUAAGUAAAAUGAAUUUGAAGAAAUAUAUAAAAAUAAUUUAUUAAUUUUGAAUUUAUUUUUUAUUUUUCUUCGAUUUUUCUUUUCUUUCUCCUUUUUUUUUUUUCUUUCCCUCAUACUUUUUCUCAAAUUUUUCGAGAACCAAACAUAGCCUUGGAAUAUAUAUUUUUUUAAAAUCUUUUUAAUUAUUUUCAAGUAUAAAAUGAUAUAAAAAUUCACUCCUAUCAUCUCAACUUUUUCCACAAUCAAACCUAGAAAAACUUUUAAUUCUAAAUCCUCAUGUCCAUUUCAUUAUCUUUAUUUUCCCUAUGGACUCAAGACAAGGUUCUCCUAUUUCUAAUGGGCUAUAAUAGAAUUUCUAAGAGGCUUAUGUGGCCUGGAAGAAAAAGAACUCUUUGGCCCACUGUGGACCCCGUAUUUCGGCUCAUGCGUUUCCCAUUCAAAGGCGAGCUCGAUUUUGAUUUCGAAAAAUGAUUUUAUAUUGAUUAUUUGAAAAUGACUUGGAGUCGCCACUUAUUUUUGUUUUAUUUUUAAAAAGGGUAAACAAAAUAAGAAAGAAAAACCCUAAGUGUGACUCCUUACUUUGGAAAAGGUGGUCUAUGAAAAACCGGAUCGGGUUCGGGGGUUAGGUUACUUAUUGGGAAGGUACGGUAAAGACCGUAGCACCCCUCUAAGUCCCUAAAGUCGGGUCUCUACUAAUAAAAUGAAGCAAUCAAUGGCAAUUAAUGAGGGAAUCAAUGAAUACUCAGAGUGAUCAUGCACAUGUGGGAAUCUAAACAUGCAUACAGAAAAUGACCCGAGCGGGUGUGGAUGCGUACCUGGGCAGUGAUCCAUAAAACGCUAUCAAGAAGUGAGGUUAGCGCACAAUUAAGGAAUAAUUUCGAGCAUGUCAUAUAGUAAAAUAAAAUCGAUCAUGCAUGGCAAUUAAAUCAAACAAACAAUCAAUCAAUCAUAAGGAAAUUACAUAUGUUGGACCCCCACCAAAGCCCGAUUUAUAUUGCACGAAUUAAUCUCACGAAUCCCAUUAUUUCGGAAUUAUGAAGAUUCAUCAUUCUUACUUGUGUAAAAAUUAAAAGAAAUAGAACAUUAUUUAAAAAACGAAGUGGAAUUAAAACUGUUCGAGAGAAAAUUGGAUUUUUGAGAUUUAUUUGGAAAUUGAAGUCUCGAAAAUUAUUUGAAGACUAGAGUCUUGAGAAUUAAAUUUAAGAAUUGGAAUUUUGGAUAUUAAAUUUGAAAGAAAUUAGAAUUUUGGAAAACGGAAAUUAAGUUCAGAAAUUGGAAUUUUGAAGAAUUGUUUAAAAUGGAAUUUCAAAAUAAAUAACUAAAAUAAUAAUAAUUAAAUAGAUUAAUGUGAAUAUCGGAAUUUUCGGAAUUAGAAAUUAAAAUCGGAAGUUGGAAAUUUUAAGGAAUUGUUUAAAAUUGAAUUUUAGAAUAAAAAAAUUAAAUAAUAAUAAUAAUGAAAAUAAUAAGGAUUAAAUAAAUAAAUAUGGAAAUUGGAAUUCCGAAAAUUAGAAAUUGAAUUUAGAAAUCGGGAUUUUGAAGAAUUACUUAAUGAUGGAAUUUUAAAUAAAUAAAUAAACAAUAAUAAUAAUAAUAAUAAUAACAAAAAUAAUGAUUGAAUAAAUGAAUAUGGAAAUUGGAAUUCCAGAAAUUAGGAAAUUGAGUUCGGAAAACGGGAUUUUGAGGAAUUGCUUGAUGAUAGAAUUUUAAAUAAAUAAAUAAAUAGUAAUAAUAAUAAUAAUAACAAAAAUAAUGAUUGAAUAAAUACAUAUGGAAACUAGAAUUCCGGAAAUUAGGAAAUUGAGUUUGGAAAUCGGGAUUUUGAGGAAUUGCUUGAUGAUAGAAUUUUAAAUAAAUAAAUAAAUAAAUAACAAGAAUAAUGAUUGAAUAAAUAAAUAUGGAAAUUAGAAUUCCGGAAAUUAGGAAAUUGAGUUUGGAAAUCGGGAUUUUGAGGAAUUGCUUGAUGAUAGAAUUUUAAAUAAAUAAAUAAAUAACAAGAAUAAUGAUUGAAUAAAUAAAUAUGGAAAUUAGAAUUCCGGAAAUUAGGAAAUUGAGUUUGGAAAUCGGGAUUUUGAGGAAUUGCUUGAUGAUAGAAUUUUAAAUAAAUAAAUAAAUAACAAGAAUAAUGAUUGAAUAAAUAAAUAUGGAAAUUAGAAUUCCGGAAAUUAGGAAAUUGAGUUUGGAAAUCGGGAUUUUGAGGAAUUGCUUGAUGAUAGAAUUUCAAAUAAAUAAAUAAAAUAAUGAUGAUUUAAAUAAAUUGAUGUGAGAAUUUAAAUUUCGGAAAAUGGAAUUUAAAUUUAGAAAUUAGAAUUUUGAAAGAUUAUUUUAAAGAUUGAAUUUUUUUAAAAAUGAGCAAAUGAAUAAAUAACAAUGAUUAAAUAAAUUAAUGUGAGAAUUAAAAUUUAGGAAUUUGGCAUUUUAAAUUUAAAAAUCGGAAUUUUAAAGAGUUAUUUAAAGGUUGAAUUUUUAAAUAAACAAAUAAUUAAGUAAAUAAAAUAACAAUGAUUAAUUAUCUGAAAACUGAAAUUUUGAGACUUUUAAAUUUGCCAUGUGGGAUAAGGGGCCAUGCACAGGUGCGUAAACAGGCCUAAGGGCAUUGAGAUUACACUAUUGGGUUGGGCCCAAAAUGGAAAGGGGCUCUUAAAGGCUGACCAUUGCAUGCCAAAGUGGCCAAGCCCAGGUGCAUAAACAAGCCCAAAAGUCAAAGAGAAUUCACCAUCGGGCUGGGCCUAAAAUGAAAAGAGGCUCUUAAAGGUUACUCAUGGGCUUGAGCUGCACCAUCCAACUUAGGCCCAACUAAUACCCAUCUUCGUGAAUACACUGCCCUUCCCCCCCAUUUGCAUUUUCUUUUACCCCGCCGGUGUGUCCUUUGCCGUGCCCCUCCAAGACCUGGAUGACCACAACUGCCAUCACCGGCGCCGCCGAGAGCUGCUCCCCCAAGUCCAUGACGUCCCUCACCAUAACAGAUGUUGCGUCCAUGAGGCCACUUUCCGUCGUGUGCAUGGUGGUUGUGAGGUCCUCCGCCAUGGCCGCAGUGUCCAUGAUAGCCAUGAACGCAUGGAGAUGAUGGAAGGCAAUGGGUUUAAUGGCAUGGUGACGGGUUUGCAUAGAUUCUUGAGAGGGUGGUGAGAUUUGAAGGUUUAAAAUAGCCAUACAUGCAUGCAUGUGGGGGAAUACCCUGCACAUUUGGCAAGAGUGUGCUGGGCUAGGAUAUUAAAAAAAAACAACCAGUUCUUCAAAUAUUAAACUAAAAAAAACCUUAAAGUAUGGCAACCCAACAAGCAGAGCAGAAAAUCACAGAGAAUGGGAUAUAAGAGAUAUCAAAAAUGAAACAGAGCGGAAAUCACGGAGAAUGAGAUAUAAGAGAUGUCAAAAAUGAAAACAUACAGGAAAACCGCAAUAACCGCACCUGAAAACCUCCUCUCGACUCGGUGUCUUGGGAUGCCGCUCACUAUUCUCUCCCCAGAAAAAAUCUCAGCCCUAGUUCCCCCCGUCUCUUCCUCUCUUUUCCUCUGUUUUCAAUCCUUCUUAGCAAGCCAUCCUGCUAACCUGUCCCAUCUGUCGCCCAAAAGCCUCCCUCAUCAGUCCUCAGCCGCCUGAAAGCAGCCCACUUGAGAGGCCCUCUGAAAAACAGCAGAAAAAUCCCGCUCCUCGGGGGGUCUACACCCACAUUACGUUGUUAAGCUAUAUGCAAGAUGAUCUCUUGAUUGAGUAUGAGGUCUACCAAACUACUCAUGAAAUGUGGGAAGCUUUAAAGGAAAAGUAUAAUGGACUUUCAGCUACAAAGUUGAGAGAAUUUGUAAUAAAAUUUGAAAUUACAAGAUGCAACCGAACCAUAUAAUGAAACAACAUCUCAAGGAGAUAAAAAGAAUAAUAAGAGAGCUUAAGACAUCUGGACAUGUCUUCAUUGAUGAGCAACAAGUUAAGACUGUCAUCAAAUCUCUACCAAAAAGUUGGGAACACAUGAUGGUGAACAUAACACAUAAUGAGAGAGUCAAUACCUUGACAAUAUAGUUCGCCAUCUUAAAUUGGAAGCCGAGUGACUUAAGGUUGCUAAGCCUAAUGAACAAUCUUAUGUAGUUGAAUCUAAUUCUUGCAAAACUUUUGACUUUAAACAUAAUAGAAAAUUCUUUAAGAAAAAUAAGAAAUCUGAUGAUGCUUUAAAGAAAGGAAAGAUUGGGGCAUGUAAGAAGUUCAAGUGUGCUAAGAGAGAUAAGAGCAAGUUGAAAUGCUACAACUAUGGCAACAAGGGUCACUGUACUUGUGAGUGCAUUGAGCCGAAAUAGGUAUGAUCCUAUUCAAAAAACCUAUAUGCUUAAGUAAUAACCCUCAUUUGUCUUAAUUACCUCCACAAACUCCUUUGCUACACUACGAUCUCCACAUUUACUUGACCUCUUUUACCCUAAUUAUAAUUUAUAAGGAUAAAUAUGUCAAUUUGAUGAUUUAGAUUAAGUUUUAAGUUAAUUUUUAUCAAACAAUCUUAAUACUUAAAGUAAAAAUUAAGUAAUAAAUAUUAAGUCAAUAAUUUAAGUAUAAUUUAAUUUAAAGUCAACUUAAGUCAAUAAGUAAUAAGUAUUAAACUUCACCAAACACCCCUAAAUACAAAAUCAUUUUCCCUUUGAAAGUCUUGAUUAUAUUCACUUAAAAUAUGUUUUUUUUAAAAAAAAUAUUUUCAAUUAUAAAAUGAUAUAAAAAUUCACUCCUAUCAUCUCAACUUUUUCCACAAUCAAAGUUAGAAAAACUUGUAAUUUUAAAUCCUCUAUCCAUUCCAUUCAGCAUCUUCAUCUUUAUUUUCUUUCCCAAUGGACUCAAGACAACUUCCUCCUAUUUCUAAGAGACUAUAAUAGAAUUUUCGACUCUAUUCUCUUACAUGCCUUGAUUUGAAUUGACUAGAUAUGACUUUUUUCCACCUUUAAUUAAGUCUACGUGUAACUCCUCAAAUAUUUUCACAAACAAUAUUAUUUGCUAAUAUAACAACAUACUUGUAGAAAAAAAAAGAUACACAUUACUUAAAAAUAGGAUAAAUUUCUAUCAAUGACUAUCUCAAAUGAAUAGUUCUCUAUCCAAUUUUAAUAACAAUCAAAUUGAACAUAUUCCCAUAUUCAUUAUGUAUAAGAAAAUAGAGUUUUAAUGAUUCAAGGUCAAAUUCUCAAUAGUUUUAUUCACUUUGGUAAAACAAAUUCAAUAGUUUUAAUUGUGGAUUGUUAAUUACAUGGUUGAUAUUGUUUGUUAGUUUAGCUCCUUUCAAAAAGAUAUUUAAUUGUGUAUUUAUUGACUAAUGAGAUUUGUAUGUAAUUAAAUUUGUGCCUUUUUAAACUUUUUCAUUAAAUAAUAUAAAGAUCGAGAACAAACUUCCUCGUGAUUUUUGAAAGCUCAAAUUUUUUGGUUUCAUCAAAGAAGUUAUUUGAGAAUUGAAAUACAACAUAUGAUGAAGUAUCUAGGGCCUACAAUUGGUACAUUAAAUAUCACCUUAUUGGUUAAUUACAUGGAAUGUUGGCCAUCAUGUCUUCAAUAAAAUGGCCCAAGGAAAAGUGCGACGAUCCACCCUCUAUCGUCACUUUUCUACUUAUUUUUUUCAUUUCUUCCCUCUUCUUCCUCACUUCAUUGUCAAUAUUCAUUAGAUUCUUUAAUCCAAUUUCAAUCUCCCGAGCACUUACAACAUAACUAAUAUCCUUAUUAUAAUUCAUUUUAAUCUUUACGGCUAAUCCCAAAUCUUUCACCAUUUGAAACGCAUUGAUUCGUUGUUCUGCAAACAUCGGCCACGUGGCUACAGGAACACCAUAAUAUAUGCUUUCUAACGUAGAAUUCCAUCCGCAAUGAGAUACAAAUCCUCCAACCGCUGAGUGGGCCAAAAUAGCUACUUGUGGAGCCCAUCCGAUCACCUUUCCAAUCCUGGCUGUCCGGUGUAAGAACCCUUCUGGUAGAACUUCCUCCUCAUUUGCAUAAUUGCUUCGAGAUUCUAUUUUACCCUUUGACGAGGGUUGACGAAGGGACCACAGGAAGCGAUGCCCGCUGCGUUCUAGCCCAUGUGCUAUCUCUUUGACCUGAUCCCCACCAAAGCCUCCCAUGCUCCCGAAGCACAGGAAUACCACUGAUGAUGGAGGCUGAUCAUCAAGCCAGCUCAUGACGGCACUAGCAUCUUGUUGACCCCCAACAGAUCCCCCUUGCGUCUUAAGUACUGGUCCAACGGGGUAGACCGGGGGUAUUGUACUGCCAGAAAAUGAUUGAAUAGCAUGUGACUCGAGCUCAACAAGUGUAUUUACCAUAAUACCCUUGACUUGUCUGAACCUCCUUGUGUGAUACAGAAACUUCUCAGCCCCACCGCCUUCCUUGCCAAACAUCAAAGAAGGAAAGACCUUACCUGGAACCCGGGUUGGCAUAACUCGGACCUCCAGCUCAGCAUCCGAGUCCUUGAACUCAUUGAAAUCCAAGCCCUCAUUAUCAUGGAGGAACUGAAGAUGGAACAUGAAGCCAAGAAAAGCGGCGCUGGAAGUGAAGAAGAGAUAUGAAGGCACCUCAAACUCAUCGGCCACAUCAAUCAUGGAGGUGCAGAACAUAUCAAUAACGAACCCACCGAGCCGAACGGAGUUGGAGCGAGUGAUCUCGUGGACGGCGUCUCUGACGAGUGGUAUCUGAGGUUUGAGGAAUUCAGUGAUCCCUGUAGUUCCAGGGCUGACCUCUACAGGAGGAAGUGUGAGGAAACGUAUGGAAUCAGAGUCGGAGGUCAUACUAUCAUUGGACCCAAACGGAAACUUCAUAAUCAAGAUUGUGAUUGACAAUCGGCGGUCUCGGUGAGUCAUCAGCUUUGCAAUCUCCACUGUGGCCGCAAGGUGGCCGAUCCCAGGAGAUGGGAUGAAGACAAGCUCAGUUUGCUUCAUCACUAACCGGCGAUUACUGCAAAGAGAGAAAAAUAUUGGAUGUUUUGAGGGCUUUGUGGUGCGGUGACACAUACUUGUUGCUGAACGGGUUAUAAACGACCUUUCAAUAGUCUUGGCGGGCGAGGAACCGAUGUCAUGGCUUUGCUGGUUCAGUCUAUUUUAUUCUACUU